rnacentral:rRNA from 1 species
CGUCUAUAUACGUAUAGCAUAUCAAUAAGCGGAGGAAAAGAAACUAACGAGGAUUCCCCUCAGUAACGGCGAGUGAAGCGGGAAGAGCUCAAAUUUGAAAUCUUCAAGGUUCUACCUUGACGAAUUGUAGUUUAAAGAAGUGUUUUCUGUUGGUGUUUUGGUAAAAGUUCUUUGGAAUAGGACAUCAUAGAGGGUGAGAAUCCCGUAUUUGACCAUUACUUCCAGCGUUGUGAUACACUUUCAAAGAGUCGGAUUGUUUGGGAAUGCAGUCCAAAAUGGGUGGUAAAUUUCAUCUAAAGCUAAAUAUUGGCGAGAGACCGAUAGCGAACAAGUACCGUGAGGGAAAGAUGAAAAGAACUUUGAAAAGAGAGUUAAACAGUACGUGAAAUUGUCAAAAGGGAAGCGUUUGACACCAGUGUUGUUUUUCCGAAAAUCAAUUACGAAUGUUUUGUUUUUGAGGAGUUAUGACUUCAUCGGCUUGCUCCUUUCUUUACGAAACUUUCUUAAUGCACUUUUCGGUUAACAAGUCAACAUCAAUUUCUUUUGUUGUAAAAGAGUAUUCGGAAGGUGGCUUUCUUUUCGGAGAAAGUGUUUAUAGCCCUAUACUUCUACAAUCGGAGAGAUUGAGGUCUGCAGCGUAGAUCCUUCGGGGUUAGAUACAUUUGUGCUAAGUUGUAGCUUUUCAUAGACAACUUGUUGACUAUGUUUAGUCAUGCGGCUUACUCGCUUAUGCUAUUUUACCUACGCUUAGGAUGUUGA